ensembl:lncRNA
GUCAUACCUUAUAAUAUAUGUUUCAAUCUGAAAACUUAGACCAAUUUUACUGAUACACGAUCCAGCCUGUCUUUUCCAACUUGCACCUCUUAUGUCAGUGCUCUUCAUUCUGGGCUCGUCUGUGUUGCAGUUCGAGGCUACCACGGUGAACUACAAAGAAAAGCGUUACUGGAAAUGUGCAUCGCUGAAGUAUGCUGAUGCUUUUUUCCCCUUCUUAAAAAUGUGUUUUACUGGAAAACAUGGCAAGGGGAAGAUACUCAUUUUGCCCUAAAAGUUUUCAGGGAUGUUUAUUUUUCCAGUGCUUCAGAAGAAGGCAAAGCCAGACAAUUUUUUUUAGCACUGAAGAACAAUUAUUGAUUUGAAACCAUAAUUUGUCCUGAAAAAUCACUCUAAGUUUCAUUUCUGGUUGAAAAGGCAGCAAUGUAUAACUGAAAAGUUUGGGUUUGAAAAUCGUUUUGGUUUGAGAAGCCAUUUUUGUCACAUAAGAAGUUUUUGCCCCACUCCCACGAGCGCGAUGUGCGGGCACCGAGGGCUCGUCCUGCGCUGCUCUGGUGGCCGACCUGAGGGGCUCUCUGCCUGAGGCAUGUAAACCAGCCUACUAGGAACGUUGAAUUAAGAUUGUAGAAAAACUGUUUGGGAUGGCAUUCAGGAAAUUCAGUUGCAGACCACAGCAUGGAAUAUUCUUACGCGCUUUGAAGAAGUGCUUGGGUAUUAAUAACGUGUCUGUUUUUUCCACUCCAGUGCUUCCAGCUGGUCUAACAGGAGCGAAUGCCUCACCCCGGAGCUGUUGCCUUGCUGCUGUACGUGAGGACAGAACAGGCCGGGCCAGGAGCUGUGCUGCAAAAAAGCCGCGUGUCGCUGCGCUCAGACGAGCUCUGAGUGACGCCAGCUGAGGAUCCCGCUGGUUGGAUUCACUGCUGAGGAAAGACCAAGAGCUGAAUACCCAGCACAAGGAGGGUUCUGUCUUAUGUGCCCGGUAGGCUCGAUCAGCACACAGAUUGCGUUCUGCUGUUUCUUAAACCCAAACCACUAAAACAGAUGAUGUAAAGGAGCGGGGCAGGAAUGCUGUGUUUGUGGCUUGUUGCUGUUUAUAUAGCGCCAAAGUUGGGCAAGGCACUUUAAAAACAGGCAUGAUGGCAUGAAGUACUGGCCCUAAUUAAGCCGGGCAGUUUUGGUGGUGAUUUUAGGGGAAUUGGGAUUGCCCUUUCACAAGAAGUUUCUGCUUUAGGUUUAAAUAUUGCCUCAAACAGAGCUUCAGCAGGAAGGGGGUGAACCCUCUGGGUAGGAUUUGGGGCUGGAGGAACCCCCAGAUGGUGAGGAUGGGCCCUAAGCACCGCAAAACUGGGCUGCCCGGGGAGCUCCCUGUUUAGCAGAGCCAUAUCCCAGUAGACCUAUGACUCUUCAAACACUCUGAUUAAACACUUGUUAUCCACAUAGAUUGAAAUACCACGACAAAAAUAGUUUUCUGCAACCAGGACCUACAUUUUCUGUACAUUCCUACUCAUUUCUUCGUUCCAGGUUCAUUCUUGGCAGUGAACAUCCCCCGAUUCCUGUUCAGAGUGGAGUGGGCUAUGCUUUCCCCAAAUCCUCGGGUUGAAUCACAAAAAAUGUGUUAUUUCCUUGCUGCGGUGUUGUCCAAGAUUUUAGAGGUCGUGAUCUAACACACCAGCCAAAACAAUGACCUUGGCUUGAAAACGAGGAGGCUUUUUUGAAGGGUUGGUUGAAUUGUUGGAGUUUUUUGCCGGCUGUGUCUGAAACCGUUAGGAUACUUUUACAUUUUCAGGCUUUCCCCAGAGCUGUUCACUUUUUCAGCUGAGGAACGUGGGACUAUUUGUGCUGCACACCUUUGUGGUACCUGUUUCAGGUGCUUGAGUGGUGAAGCUCCUCUUCCAA